CUUUGUAGCUGUAGGGUCUUUUACUUUCUUCCCAAGAGCAACAUUCUUUGCUUGAAUCUCUAGAUCCCGAGUUUCGUUGGCAAGUCUUUUCUAGACACAGUAGUUAGAAAAAUCAGAAUACCAUCUAAUGAAAUUAGCAAGAAAAAUGUUUCACUAAUGAAAUUUGCUAAAUGUCAAACAGUGAGCAUAAAAUAUAAAUCACAAUGCCAUCUAACUGAGUGUAAAUCAAUGCUUACACACCUCACGAGCCUUUGCUGUCUUAAAAUCAUCAUAUAUCACCCAGAACAAUCAUGGGAUUAAAUUUACUUCUGUCAAUCUCUUCACUACAGAAGCAAAACAAAAAACAACACUAAGCUAUGAAGAGAGGUUCCCAUUAAUAGAUUAGCUCAUUGAAGAAGUUAUCCAAAAUAGACAAAAUAAUCAGUUACAUGGUUGUCUCUACAACUGGAAGUUCAGAGAUGGAUUCAGCAGAAUCAAGUGCAUUCUCAACAAGUUCUCUCACAGUAGUGUAAAGACAUUUCCCAGGCUGAAAAUUUGGAAAGACUAACUUGAUUAACAGCACAUUUAGUGUAUCAUUGUUGAAGUAAGUUCCACCUCAUGAAAAUCUUGAGCUAUCAAAAAAAGCGAAGAGCCUAUUUCAUAUAAUGCCUUCAACAUUCCCUUCAAUGUGGUCGAUUCUCUUAUGUUGGCUAAUGGCAACAAUGCGUGACCUUAAAAUCCACCUACUCUACAAGUAACCAGUUCCGGAAAAAAACUCCACCUAUUCUACUAUCAUUCGGAAUAUAGGAAGUUAGGAACAUCUCUUCAAGAGGGAGUAGAAGGAUUCAAUUAUGAGUUAUCAAUAGUCUGAUUAUAUGCUAACCACGGGGCCUAUGGAGAUUAAUUUCUAAACCUAUUCUUUAUUAAAGGUACCUAAAUUUUAAUUAAUUUUGAGGUACUAGCUGCUGCUCUCCAACAUAAUGGCAAAUCAUCAAACUAAUGUGUGAUUAUAUCAUUAGAAAAAAGUUAAAAUUAUAAGACAUCCUAAACAUAUAAGAAACUCACAUUGUCAAAACCAGCAAUGUUUUUGUUAUCUGCAAAGAACUCAGCUGGAGACUCGCACAAAUUUAAAACACAAAAUGAAAAUUAAUCCAAUAAAAGAAAAGGCAACAAACCAUUAAGCUUAGAAGUUUCGCCUAGACUCAACCAAUGGAAUAAGAGAGAGAGAGAGAAAACAAACUUUCUUUGAAAAUGCUAUCUUUAGGUAUGUAUAAAGGUUUGAUAAUCCAGCCAAACCUUCAUCAUGUCGUUCAGUAUAAUCUGAGAAAGAACCAAUACAGCAUUCUCCCGCACAGAAACUGAUGAAACUCUUAAUUAUGCAUACAUAGCUCUGUCCAUGGCUAUAAGAGAUUAGGAAAAUGAACUGCCAAAUCUCCAAGAGCAACAGUGCAAUUUGAUCAAACUAUUUCAGAUAGUGCAUUCACAACAACAGUAAAAAGAACUGGAGAUUUGCAUCACUAGGAAGUAAUAUAAACACAUGUUUAGAAAUUUUUACAAAAACCUUAACUAAUUGAUAAUGCUCAAAUUGCCCUAAAAAUAAGUUAAAAGAUUAAGCGGUUGUCGUCAAUAAAAAUACCCAACAAUCGCGUUCAUGAAGGGUACUUUCCCUGCCAAAUAUUGCAUUUUCAGCUCUUGACCUCUUUUUGCAUAAAGUUCACUUGGCUUCUUCAAAUAUCUCCUAAAUCAACUCUCCAUUUCAUUUUCGUGCAAAUAUGGGGAAAAAACACAUUAAAAGCACCAAUUCUAAAUUAAACCUCAAAUGAGUGGAAAUCCACCACUCAUCAACAACCCCUCCNNNNNNNNNNNNNNNNNNNNNNNNCCCCCCCCAUUUAGAAACUUUGUUGGUCCUCAAGAAAAGACAAUAACACAAGAGGCUCUUAUUUCAAGACAACACAAAUCAAUUUCCCUUUCUCAAUUAAGCACAAAGGUAAUGGCUUUGGUUGGUAAUAACAAAUAGUCCACAUGCAAACUUUUCGCAAGACAAAUCCUCUCAUUCUCAUGAAACAUUUUCAAAAACCAAGAAUCAUUUAAGUGACAACAACUCAAACUCAAGAAAUGACUCAACUCAUUAACUCUUUCACAUGCUCACUUGACUCAAUUAGGAAUUUUCAAAAUCACCACUUUUUCAACUUGCAUGCCCUCACAAGAAAGAAGUGUCCCAAAACCACACACACAUAUAAACAAGACAAGGGACAAAGAUACAACACUCACACUCACAAACAAUCAUCUCAUGCACACAAAUGUCACACAUAUAAACAAGACAAGGGACAAAGAUGCAACACUCACACUCACAAAGAAUCAUCUCAAGUACACAAAUGUCACACCAUAGGAUUGCCCAUAUUUUCAAUCAACAUUUACUCAACUCCAUUUGGUUAGAAAUCUCAAAGGACUUUGUUAAGCUUGUAAUAUAGGCUUAGGGAAGGUUAGGAUAUCAUUUAGGUAUAAGUGACUACACCCUCCUUGAACAUUAUACAACAACUCAUAAUUUCCAACUUUCUCCACUUUUCAAACCCAUGCACAUUCCACACUAUUUUUCAUUUUUCUUUUCUUAUUUCCACACUAGAUUCCCCAUAUGCAACCAUUUUCAACUUUUGGAGGACUCAAGUCUCAUAUAUUCAUUUUCUUUCUUUCCUUUUCAAAGGUUUUUCUUUCUUUAAGACUUUCCAUACAACAACUCAUCAUUUCCAACUUCCUCCACUUUUCCAACCGAUGCACAUGCCAAACUAUUUUUCAUUUUUCUUUUCUUGUUUACACUCUAGAUUCCCCACAUGGAACCAUUUUCAACUUUUGGAGGAUUCAAGUCUCAUUUAUUCAUUUUCUUUCUUUCUUUUUCAAAGGUUUUUCUUUCUUUAAGACUUUCCAUACAUCCCUCAAUUUCUCUCUUCUUCUUUUUUUCCAUUUUUUUAUAUCAACCCCUCAUGUGGUAAAGCAUCCCUUUAAUGAAUUUCCCAUAACCACCCCAACUUAGGCUUUUAGCCUCAACUUUCAAUACCUCAAGUUCAAGGAGAGAAGGGUUCAAAAGAAGGUUAUUUUUACAAAAAAGGAUAAGGCUUGUAAUAUGGUUGCCAAUAAAAAGGAUUAGGCUCAAAGGGGACAACUAAGGAUAUAUUUAGUGCAAAGGUGGGAUUUUUAGGCCAAGUGGACUUCAAGAACAUCAAAGAAAGCCUAAGAUCAUUUCACCAACCAAACUCAAUGAAGACCAACAUUUCAAGACCAACUGGGCAAGUUCUAGGUGACAAAAGUGAACACAAGGCAUUGUUCAACAACUCACCACACAUGGCAUGCAAAUCAAUCAAGAUGAUUCAAAAUCUUACUUCCUUUUCAAAAUACAAGUAGCAUUGAACAUUUUAACCGCUAACGAAUCAAAAGUCUCAAAAAGAGUUGUAAGAGUUGUCACAAAAUCAUUCACAACAUGCUCAACCUUUCAAAAACGGAGAGGUAUGCUCAACACUAUUCACAUGCAUGACUAUGCUCUUAGUACCAACCAUGACCAUUAGCCAUCAAGUACUAAAUUCAGGUAUUUGAAGUUAGACUUAGUUGUUUUUGCGUUACCUCAAUCUUAAACAAGCUCAAGUCACAUCUAAUUGUACCAUAAUAUAACUUAUUUUUACAAAGAGAAAGAGGAUACAGAACAUUACAUAACAACACCUCUUCCUCUCUUUUCUUCUUCUUCUUCUUUUGAUGUGGUUUGACUACUUCAUUAAUCAUGAGGACCUUGUGUCAUCAUUGCUGUGGAAAAAUAAACUCUCCCCCUAUUCCUCUCUUAUCCCCCACCAUAAUUAAGUUCUUUAUCUUCACUAUAAGUAACCCAUCCUCCUGUUGCACCUUUUUUUUUAUGCUCAAACAUGAUUAUAACACAUAAUAUAAUCUAAUGUUCAGACCCUUCCCUUAAUUUUUCCUAUCUUUGUCUCCCAAUUUAAUUCUCUUAGUAAACAUCAAAACGUACCAUGCAGCAUCAGAUCAUUUACAGUCACUUCAUCACUUUUUCGAUACAGAUCUCAACAUGCAAUAUACAUACUAAAAUAGCCAGGAUACAUGUACUCAGUACUAAAAAGAAGAAUAAAGUAACUAAGAUUUUGAGUUCUGCAUUGAGAGUGUAUUUAUUGUGUAUUAUCAUAUUAAGUUGAAUAAAUCAGGAUCAAUUCAAGACACAAGCACUUAAAUUAGUAAUAAUCAGCUUCGUGAAAGCCACUUGUAGUAGCAGAAUACAAAAUUCUGCUAGAAUCCAAAUCAACAUUUCACCAGAUUAUAGACAUCAAAAUCAAACACAAAUCUCUCAUAAUAUACACACUUUUGCACACUAAAAUUAUAAAAUAGACAUCUAUUUUCAAACUUGUACCAGAUAUUAUCUCACGAAUUUUAUCGCACACUUUUACCUCCAGAGAUGCCUCAGUAAUCCCUAUUGGUUGUAUUUGUGGCUGAGUCGUCAUUCCAGAACUACCACCUCCUCAAAAAUUGCCACUUCCACAGCCUGGCCCGCCUUCUAUCUCGUCCAAUUUCUUUUAUUUACCGCAACAUCAGAUAAAAAUAAGAAAAGGAGAAGUAUCAGAAUNNNNNNNNNNNNNNNNNNNNNNNNNNNNNNNNNNNNNNNNNNNNNNNNNNNNNNNNNUAGAAACUAAAGAUGAUAAUAUAUAUAUAUAUAUAUAUAUAUAUAUAUCAACCUAUGGGAGAAAAUAUCAAUUCAUAAGGCAAAGCAUUAAUUCAAUCAAUUAUAAAACGAGAAAUAUUUUGCUGACAAUUGUUGCUUCAAUGACUGAAAUAUUAGAGUGAACCACUAAUUCUAUUUUUAAAAUUAAAGCUAAAACCAUCAUAAAUUAACUCCAUGUCAACCUAAUAAGAACAAAAAUACAGAUAUCUACUCAAAACAAAGAUGUAGACAUUAAUCUUAAACUGGUCUAGGGAACAGAUGCACGACCAUGUCUCGCAAUUAGAAGAUUGAGGAAAUCAAUUUGUCAUUUGUGCACAAAGAGAGACAAAUACUCAUAUAAAGUGGAAAGAAAAGUGUUGUUCUAACAAAUUCUCAUACACAGCAACAUUAAAACAACAAAAUGUAUGUAAAUGGUUUUAAAGAUUAACAAGAAACAGCAACUCUAAAACAAUGGAAUGGGUUUAAAGAUUAACAAGAAUCAGCAACUCUACAAAAAAGGAAUGGGUAUAAAGAUUAACAAGAAACAGCAACUCUAAAACAAUGGAAUGGGUUUAAAGAUUAACAAGAAACAGUCACUCUACAAAAAUGGAAAUGGAAUGGGUAUAAAGAAUAACAAGAAACAACAAUUCUAGAACAAUGGAAUGUAUGUAAACGGAUUUAAAGAUGAACAAGAAGCAGAUACAACUGGGCCGUUCAGAUUUUUACUGUUUCAAGUGGACUAAGUCUUAAUACAAAUACAAGAUUCUAAAACCAAGAAAGCCACCAUGAAUCAACCAUAGAAACAACAUGCAAACUGAUCCCAAAUAAGGGAUCAGAAAUACUCCAAUCACAUAACAAGGGGAUAAAAAUGGGUCAAACAAAAACAAUUAAAACCUCGAAACCAUAAAGAAAACCCUAAGCAACUCUCAAAUAUUGACUAAGCCUUUAUACAGAUUUCUUUCUACAAGAUUCUAAAGAAAGAAAACCAAGAAAAGAUGGCCAUGAAUCAACCAUAGAAACAACAUCUGAAUACUCCAAUCACAGAUAAAAAUGGUACAAACAAGAAGUUUAAUCGAACGAAGGAAGAAAAGAAAGAUGAGAUUGAGAUGAAUACCUUAGCUGAUUCCCAACUCCAACGGCUCUGGCGCUUCGUAGCUGAUGCCCACACAAGCAAAGAAGAAGAAGAAUUCGCCUCUGCUCUCUUUCCUUUCUUCAGUUUACAGCUUUAUAUUUCAACGUUCUCUUUUCCAAAUUCCAGUUGGGCUUAAAUGAUAGAUCCGCUGUCGGAACGAGAUUUUUGAAAUUUUCUUGAAUAUGCGGCGAAGAGAAGACGGCGGGACUUGUGGGUAUGGGGAAAUGGGUGUUUGAUUUUGAAGAGAUGAGAAAGGGAAAGCGGAGGUUUUGGGGUUAAAGGGGAAGUGAGAAGUGUGUGG
rnacentral:lncRNA from 1 species